rnacentral:ribozyme from 1 species
CAACAGGAACGGUCAAUCCAAGAGAAGGAGGAAGCUUUCAAGGACGAGCUGGAAACUUUGCGGCAGGAAGCAAGCAAAGCCGAAAGCAAGCUUAAACAGAAAG